AUGAACGCUGGCGGCGUGCCUAAUACAUGCAAGUCGAGCGAACAGAUGAGGAGCUUGCUCCUCUGACGUUAGCGGCGGACGGGUGAGUAACACGUGGAUAACCUACCUAUAAGACUGGGAUAACUUCGGGAAACCGGAGCUAAUACCGGAUAAUAUAUUGAACCGCAUGGUUCAAUAGUGAAAGACGGUUUUGCUGUCACUUAUAGAUGGAUCCGCGCCGCAUUAGCUAGUUGGUAAGGUAACGGCUUACCAAGGCAACGAUGCGUAGCCGACCUGAGAGGGUGAUCGGCCACACUGGAACUGAGACACGGUCCAGACUCCUACGGGAGGCAGCAGUAGGGAAUCUUCCGCAAUGGGCGAAAGCCUGACGGAGCAACGCCGCGUGAGUGAUGAAGGUCUUCGGGUCGUAAAACUCUGUUAUUAGGGAAGAACAAAUGUGUAAGUAACUAUGCACGUCUUGACGGUACCUAAUCAGAAAGCCACGGCUAACUACGUG
rnacentral:rRNA from 1 species